GUAGAUACUCAUCCUACUCCUUAUGACAGCAUCGACUUCAUAAACCUCGGGAUGAUGUAGAGCUAAUUUCCAGUGCCUAUGGUCCACGUUAUAGAUGAGUCAGCGUAUUUGCUUUUCAUCACAAACAGGACACAACGUUGAGUGAGGCACUAUCCGUCUGUAGACCUGAUUGGAUUUAUACACCUAUCUUUUGAUAGGUGUUUUUUU
rfam:Xenorhabdus szentirmaii DSM 16338, WGS project CBXF01000000 data, contig: XENSZ_2115_Contig_9